rnacentral:rRNA from 1 species
CAGCAGCCACGGUAAUACGAAGGGGGCUAGCGUUGUUCGGAAUUACUGGGCGUAAAGGGCGCGUAGGCGGCCAUUCAAGUUAGAUGUGAAAGCCCUGGGCUCAACCUAGGAAUUGCAUUUGAUACAGUUUGGCUUGAGUUCGGGAGAGGUGAGUGGAAUUCCCAGUGUAGAGGUGAAAUUCGUAGAUAUUGGGAAGAACACCGGUGGCGAAGGCGGCAACCUGGUCCUUGACUGACGCUGAGGCGCGAAAGCGUGGGGAGCAAACAGGAUUAGAUACCCCCGUAGUCCCUGUCUCUUAUAC